rnacentral:rRNA from 1 species
AGUGAACUCUGGCGGUAGGCCUAACACAUGCAAGUCGAACGGCAGCACAGUAAGGGCACGCUCUUACGGCUUCCGCUUGGCGGACGCGUUAGGAAUACACCGGUAUCUACUUUUUCGUCCGGGACAACGUAGGGUAACUUUCGCCAAUACCCCAUACGACCUACGGUUGAAAGCAGGGGAUCUUCGGACCUUCCGCGAUUACCUGCGCCGAUGUCGCACUAGCUAGUUGGCGGGGUAAAGGCCCACCAAGGCGACGAUCCGUGGCUGGUCUGAGAGGAUGAUCGGCCACACUGGAACUGAGACAAGGUCCAGACUCCUAUGAGAGGCAGCAGUGGGGAAUUUUGGACAAUGGGCGCAAACCUGAUCCAGCAACCCCGCGUGGGAGAAAAAGGCCUUCGUGUUGUAAAGCCCUUUUGUUGGGAAAGAAACGCAGCAGGUUAAUACCCCGCUCCUCUGACGGUACCAAAAGAAUAAGUCCGGGCUAAAUUCGUG